rnacentral:rRNA from 1 species
AUACGAAGGGUGCAAGCGUUACUCGGAAUUACUGGGCGUAAAGCGUGUGUAGGUGGUUGUUUAAGUCUGUCGUGAAAGCCCUGGGCUCAACCUGGGAAUGGCGAUGGAAACUGGGCGACUAGAGUGUGGCAGAGGGUAGUGGAAUUCCUGGUGUAGCAGUGAAAUGCGUAGAGAUCAGGAGGAACAUCCGUGGCGAAGGCGACUGCCUGGGCCAACACUGACACUGAGGCACGAAAGCGUGGGGAGCAAACAGGAUUAGAUACCCUGGUAGUCCACGCCCUAAACGAUGCGAACUGGAUGUUGGGUGCAAUUUGGCACGCAGUAUCGAAGCUAACGCGUUAAGUUCGCCGCCUGGGGAGUACGGUCGCAAGACUGAAACUCAAAUGAAUUGACGGGG